GCAGGUCCGUCACUGUUUGUCUCUGCAGCAGAAGUGUAAAUGGUGACUCUGUUACAGCGCUGUUCUUUGUCUUUUUCGGAAGUCAAGGCAGAGAGCCACAGUCAAGGCCAAGUAGGCAAGGUGGUCCACUUGCCAUCUCUCCUGGCCGAGCAUGCCCGAUGUCAGGUGCUGUCACCGCUCCAGGCAUGCCAAAGAACAGAGGAGAGCAGGUAUCCUUUGAGCAGCCUCUGGAGUAGAAUCAGGAUUUGAGGUACCCGGAGGAGGUUUGCAGCCAAAGUUUGGAAACGGCAGCACCGAAGCAAACACGGAGAACGUCCCGACGUCCACGUACAACCGACGAUGGAUUUUGUCCGCUCGUCUUCCAAAAGCUAAGUGUCGCGGCCAGUAGUUGGGAGAAGGGGAAAAACCUUUAGUAUCACAGGGGGCAAUUUGAUGUCAGUUUAGCGCAGAGGUCUGUAGCGGGACGGGCUCUCUGGAAGCAAAGGGAGAGGGUUUCUCCUCAGCCUCACCACAGCCUCUGCCGGGCAGGGCAGUUCCGACCCAUCUCCACAUUGUCGUAAACUUUGCGUCGUCAGCCUUCUUCAACUCGACAUCGUCACGGAUCUUUCGCCCGAGGAGUUCGCCUUCAGGUCCGGAGCUACGGCCACGGUCAACCGGCGGUCUCCGCUUCCUUCUCUAGGCCCACCGAGCCUCUCGAGCGUCCUCUUAACCGCUUCGGCGCUAACUUCGUUUAACGAGUUACAUUUCAUCAUUACAUCCUAUCGUCAUACGGCUUUCUUUCCUUUUGCAUCAUCAGCCCCCGGCUCAUCUUGCGCUAGCAAUCUCGGGUCCAUAAGGUGAAAGCGCCAGGCAGUUUCCACUUGUCUCUCCGUUACAUCAUCCGUGUCUAUGUUACGUCAUCCAUGUCCGUGUUACGUAGUCUGUCUCCACCGUCUUCCAUGUCGUAGGCCUUCGUUCCAUCCCAGCUCUUUACGGGCACUAUUUCUUGCCAUAUCGGCCGUAUUUUACACACAUUCCUUCACUUAUUCCGGCAUCUUUAAAUCUUUACUCUUUGAGACAGGAAGGAUUACACAAGAUGUCCUCAUCCAUCUUCCUUCUCGCUACCGGCUUUGGUAGCGCCUUUUCCUCCACGCCAUUCUCUUGGACUUUUAGAGGGAGUGUCUUACACCCUCCUCACGUGACCGCAGUAGUUCUCUAGGUUCCAUCUUCUCAAAGGGUAUAGGGCUCAAGAAUUAAUCUUUCAGAGAGUUAUGUCAAGUCCUGGCUUAUACCUUAUCUACCUGUGUUGGCUUAUACUCUGUGUACUUAUACUGUAUCUACCUGCGUUGGCUUAUAUUGUAUGUACUCUAUAUUGUCUGUACCUAUGUUGGCUUAUAGUGUAUGUACUUAUAUUGUCUGUACCUAUGUUGGCUUAUAUUGUCUGUAAUUAUGUUGGCUUAUAGUGUCUGUACCUUUAGUGUCUGUACCUAUGUUGGCUUAUAGUGUCUGUACCUAUGUUGGCUGUCCCUAUGUUGGCUUAUAGUGUCUGUACCUAUGCUGGCUUAUAGUGUCUGUACCUAUGUUGGCUGUACCUAUGUUGGCUUAUAGUGUCUGUACCUAUGCUGGCUGUACCUAUGUUGGCUUAUAGUGUCUGUACCUAUGUUGGCUUAUAGUGUCUGUACCUAUGUUGGCUUAUAGUGUCUGUACUUAUAGUGUCUGUACCUAUGUUGGCUUAUAGUGUCUGUACUUAUAGUGUCUGUACCUAUGUUGGCUUAUAGUGUCUGUACCUAUGUUGGCUUAUAGUGUCUGUACUUAUAGUGUCUGUACCUAUGUUGGCUGUACCUAUGUUGGCUUAUAGUUUAUGUACUUGUAUUGUCUGUAAUUACACCAUACGUACACUUGCACCGUAUGCGUCGGCUUAUAUCGUGUUUACUUAUUUUGUACCUGUUACGAUUGGAGCUGCCCUGCCCUGGCACGUAGUCACAGCUAGGUAGAACAGUUACGAAAACUUUACCGCUCAUCUGUCUUCUAUGGGAUUUUGGGUAGAAAUUUUAUCGGUCCAGAGUGGGGACAAGUCCUAGCUGUCAGCCCCUUGUUGACCACUUCCUCUCGUCUCGCAGGUCCCCGAGCCUACCGAUUUCUCCCCGGAAUCUACCAUUUGACAUCGAGGAGCAGCAGCCAGAAGACGCGUCGAAGCACGUUCUCCAGCGUUUCAAGUAAGGGCCGCAGUGAGCAUUCAAGUCGGAAGCGUGCGAGAGCACGUGGCCGUCUGUGUCCGCUCGUCUCCGCACGUGUGAGUGCACCCUGACUGGAACUAACCUUGUGUGUAUGACCUUUUGCCUUUCAGGUUUUUCAACUCAUUUUUAAAUUUAGAAUAAAAAAUCCCCAGCCGGGGGUUUUUUUUUUUUUCCCCCCGGCUGGGUUUUUUUUUCCUCGGUCCCGGCCGGUCCGCGAGGCGACGUUCAUCGCCAAAGUUUGGGCGCGGACCGUCCAGGGGCCGGGGUUUUCGUCAGGCAGGAGGAUUGUUUUUUGGAGGCUCCCGGGAACCCCGUUCCCGAAGAGCGCUACGAAUGAGUGCCGGGGGUUAGCAGAGGGAUUUAACAUGUGAGUGAGCGUGGUUUUGUGUGUAAGCUGAAGGAAGUGUGUGUGUGUGUGUUGAAGGUUUCUAACACCUUGUAUGACUUUUGCCUUUCAGGUUUUUCAACUCAUUUUUAAAUUUAGAAUAAAAAAUCCCCAGCCGGGGGGUUUUUUUUUUUUUCCCCCCGGCUGGGUUUUUUUUUCCUCGGUCCCGGCCGGUCCGCGAGGCGACGUUCAUCGCCAAAGUUUGGGCGCGGACCGUCCAGGGGCCGGGGUUUUCGUCAGGCAGGAGGAUUGUUUUUUGGAGGCUCCCGGGAACCCCGUUCCCGAAGAGCGCUACGAAUGAGUGCCGGGGAUUAGCAGAGGGAUUUAACAUGUGAGUGAGCGUGGUUUUGUGUGUAAGCUGAAGGAAGUGUGUGUGUGUGUGUUGAAGGUUUCUAACACCUUGUAUGACUUUUGCCUUUCAGGUUUUUCAACUCAUUUUUAAAUUUAGAAUAAAAAAUCCCCAGCCGGGGGGUUUUUUUUUUUUUUUCCCCCCGGCUGGGUUUUUUUUCCUCGGUCCCGGCCGGUCCGCGAGGCGACGUUCAUCGCCAAAGUUUGGGCGCGGACCGUCCAGGGGCCGGGGUUUUCGUCAGGCAGGAGGAUUGUUUUUUGGAGGCUCCCGGGAACCCCGUUCCCGAAGAGCGCUACGAAUGAGUGCCGGGGGUUAGCAGAGGGAUUUAACAUGUGAGUGAGCGUGGUUUUGUGUGUAAGCUGAAGGAAGUGUGUGUGUGUGUGUUGAAGGUUUCUAACACCUUGUAUGACUUUUGCCUUUCAGGUUUUUCAACUCAUUUUUAAAUUUAGAAUAAAAAAUCCCCAGCCGGGGGGUUUUUUUUUUUUCCCCCCGGCUGGGUUUUUUUUUCCUCGGUCCCGGCCGGUCCGCGAGGCGACGUUCAUUGCCAAAGUUUGGGCGCGGACUGUCCAAGGACCGGGGUUUUCGUCAGGCAGGAGGAUUUUUUUGGAGGCUCCCGGGAACAGUGUUCCCGAGGAGCGCUGCGAAUGAGUGCCAUGGGUUAGCAGAGCUGUUGAGGUGUGAGUGAGGGUGGUUUUGUGCGUAAGCUGAAGGAAGCGUGUGUGUUGAAGGUUUCUAACACCUUGUAUGACUUUUGCCUUUCAGGUUUUUCAACUCAUUUUUAAAUUUAGAAUAAAAAAUCCCCAGCCGGGGGGUUUUUUUUUUUUUCCCCCCGGCUGGGUUUUUUUUUCCUCGGUCCCGGCCGGUCCGCGAGGCGACGUUCAUCGCCAAAGUUUGGGCGCGGACCUCCAGGGACCGGGGUUUUCGUCAGGCAGGAGGAUUUUUUGGAGGCUUCUGGGAACAGUGUUCCCGGGGACCAAAGACUGCCAGUGUGUAAUUUAGCAGUUGUGCUCAGAGCGAUGGCGAUUUUGUGUCGGAAGGGGGUGUUAAUGGUAGAUGAGCGUUGUUUUCAAUGUGCUUUUGUUGUUUUGGGUUUCCUGUAACAAUAAAUCAACCUGUAAUGAAAAUAUGAAAAA